GAGCCUUGUCAGUCUUCAGAUCUCUGUUUUAAUGUUGGUUCUGGUCAGUUCUGCCCAAAUUCCAAAGGGAGGAGGGUACAAUGAGGCCUGUCCAGCCCCCACUCCUCCUCAUCACGGCCUGAACUAGUUCUUCAGGUUUCUCUGGAAUCCCUUUGGCCCAGAGGCGGGGUCCACGCGAUCGGCUGUGGGGCUUAGAAUUUUAUUCUUGGUUUACGGCAGCUUUAGGGAGGUGCUCUGAGACCCGAAACUAGACUCGACUUUAACAGACACAGACGACCCUGAAGAUGGAAAUGUUUUCUUCCAAAUUGUGCUGCACGUUUUUGGCGAGAGCAUGGGGCUGUGCGGCGUCCCCUCCCUGGCGCCCACCUGUGCCCUGCACACUGGCCUGCACUGUGGUGAUCUCGCUUGGCCCCCACCUGAUUCCCGACAUACAGCAGAGGAAGCUUAGGCUCAGGUGGAACAGCCUCAACUGAUUCUGUCCCUGAACUUCCGUACACAGCCCUGGAGUCGUCUUAGAGCCAUGAUUUAUUUAACUGUUCUUUCAUUUUACAGAACAUAAAAUGUAUUGUUUCCAACUUUUUUCCUAUGGUAAAUAAUACUAAAGUAAAUAUCUCUGUGCAUGAAUCUUUUUGUAUAUGUUGGAAUAUCCUUAAGAUAAGGCCCCAGAACUAAAAGUACCCUGUCAAAAGGUGAGCAUUUCCGGUUCCCCUGCUGUGCUUUGCUGCGUUGUUCUCUCCUGCUGCAACGUUCUCACUCCACAAUCCUGGGGCAGGGAGGGGAGGCCCAGCUGAGUUUGGAUCAUAAUCCUGAAAGACACAAUCCCAAGCACCAUAAUGUGGAAUGUUGAAAUCCCUAAAGAUCAAAAUCCCUCAAGUCUAAAAUCCCUGAUAUUUCAGAUGACCACAGCUACAGGGCUAGGUGCACACAAUUAGUAACCGUAGCGAUAUACGUGUACACGUUUCUCUUUUGACUUAUUUCUUUAUGGUCUGUCUUCUUAUAACUGCUACACCCAUGCCGCCGUCGUUAGUUACCUCAGUGUUUAUGCAAAAAUACCUGUUAUCAUUGCCUAUUUUAUUGUGUAAAGUGGCCUAUGAAAUGUUCUGUUGUGUUUUUAUGUUUCUCAAAUACAUACCUUUUAAAAAUGUAAA
rnacentral:lncRNA from 1 species